GUCAUACACUGUUUGGUACCAAAUGGAGAUGGGCAACGCCUGUUUCGCCUGAACCGCCUCCCGCCACCGCAAACACCUGAUUGAUUCCUCAAAACCUUCACUCAAAACCCUAAACACCUGAUUCCUUGCUACCCACCAAACAAAAGAAAACCCAAUGACUUCGCUGCUUCAGACAGCCUCCCUUUCCUCUCUUUCUUCUUCUCGCUCUCUUCUUCCUAACCCCUCUUCCCGCUCUCGAAUCCCAUUCCCUAAAUGCAUCAGGUGUAGUGUGGGGGAGCCUUUGAAAUACGCGAAUGGGAAGCCAUGCAUUCCACUCCUCAGGGAUGAAAUGCUGCCGAAUUUUCUGACCAGGACAACGCAAGUCGUGAAUGCAGCUAGCAAGAAUGACACCAGGCUCCGGAUAUUUUCCGGAACUGCGAACCCGUCGCUUUCUCAGGAAAUUGCAUGCUACAUGGGUCUGGAACUUGGAAAGAUUAAGAUAAAGCGGUUUGCUGAUGGAGAGAUAUAUGUUCAGUUGCAAGAAAGUGUCAGAGGGUGUGAUGUAUAUCUUGUGCAACCAACAUGUCCUCCUGCAAAUGAGAAUCUAAUGGAGCUUCUGAUAAUGAUUGAUGCAUGUCGAAGGGCGUCAGCCAAGAACAUUACUGCUGUGAUUCCAUAUUUUGGAUAUGCCAGGGCUGAUAGAAAGACUCAAGGGCGUGAAUCUAUUGCUGCCAAACUUGUUGCAAAUUUAAUCACUGAAGCAGGUGCAAAUCGUGUUCUUGCGUGUGAUCUUCAUUCUGGUCAAUCGAUGGGAUAUUUUGAUAUUCCUGUGGAUCAUGUAUAUGGUCAGCCUGUGAUACUUGAUUACCUUGCCAGCAAGACUAUCUGUUCUGAUGAUUUGGUAGUGGUCUCACCGGAUGUUGGGGGUGUUGCUAGAGCCCGUGCUUUUGCGAAAAAGUUAUCUGAUGCUCCUCUGGCAAUUGUUGAUAAAAGACGUCAUGGGCACAAUGUCGCAGAGGUGAUGAAUUUGAUAGGUGACGUGAAGGGAAAAGUAGCCGUCAUGGUUGAUGACAUGAUUGAUACAGCUGGGACUAUUUCCAAAGGUGCAGAGUUACUACAUCAAGAGGGUGCCAGGGAAGUCUAUGCGUGCAGUACACAUGCUGUUUUUAGUCCUCCUGCCAUAGAGAGGCUGUCAAGCGGUUUGUUCCAAGAGGUGAUCAUAACAAAUACUAUUCCAGUGUCUGAGCAGAACUAUUUUCCCCAGCUAACUGUCCUGUCAGUGGCAAAUCUUCUGGGAGAGACCAUAUGGCGUGUACAUGAUGACUGUUCUGUGAGUAGCAUAUUUCAGUAAAAUUGGCUUCAUAUGAUUAGGAAUGAAGCUAGUUCAUUCUACCCUGUUACAUCAAACAAAUUCAAUUCUUUUUUUUAUUCAAUUGUAUAUGGUUGGCUUUUAUAAAGCCCUAUACUCCAUUCAACUGGUGAAAUGGAUCCUGUUGAAAUAGAAACACCUAUAUGAAGCCACCUCCAUUCUUCAGUGGUGGCUUUGAACCCUAUUCCACCUUGGGCAUUGAUUGAUCAAUUCAUGUUCGUGGUCUCCCUCCCAGCUUCCAUUACCGUCGAAGAGCUACCUUGUCUGGCACAUGUUUGUUAAUAGAAAAACACCUUUUUUUGUUUUUUUUUUCAAAACUUUGCAUAAUCUGAGGUUCAUAUGCUUGAAUUGAAUUACAUCUAGGACUAAUGGUAUCGCAUUUCCCUUACUCCCUUUUUGAGCAAGUGGUUGGUGAAUUGUAUUCUAUAUCUACAUAAACAGCAAAACUGUAUUCUGAUUCUCCAAUUUCCCUAUUAUACUAUGCUCGUGUUUCGUUUUGCCCCGAAUUAAAGAACUUCUACUUCA